rnacentral:misc_RNA from 1 species
AUGGAAGCACUGCUUUCUUCUUACCAAUGCUUUGUAAACUUUCAAUCAAAGACGUAAAAUUACAAAACUCAAAACCUCCUUCUUCCGCGAAUUCUUCAACUCACACAGAACCUACUUCCCCAAAAGUAAGCUGUAUAGGCCAAGUCAAACGAAACAACAGAGUAACUGGAUUUCCGACGCCGUACAAGUCUACUUCAUCUACCGCCAUAA